UACGUAGGUGGCAAGCGUUGUCCGGAUUUACUGGGCGUAAAGGAUGCGUAGGCGGACAUUUAAGUCAGAUGUGAAAUACCCGAGCUUAACUUGGGUGCUGCAUUUGAAAUUGGGUGUCUAGAGUGCAGGAGAGGUAAGUGGAAUUCCUAGUGUAGCGGUGAAAUGCGUAGAGAUUAGGAAGAACACCAGUGGCGAAGGCGACUUACUGGACUGUAACUGACGCUGAGGAGCGAAAGCGUGGGGAGCGAACAGG
rnacentral:rRNA from 1 species